rnacentral:rRNA from 1 species
UACGAAGGGGGCUAGCGUUGCUCGGAAUCACUGGGCGUAAAGCGCGCGUAGGCGGAUUCUUAAGUCAGGGGUGAAAUCCUGGAGCUCAACUCCAGAACUGCCUUUGAUACUGAGGAUCUUGAGUUCGGGAGAGGUGAGUGGAACUGCGAGUGUAGAGGUGAAAUUCGUAGAUAUUCGCAAGAACACCAGUGGCGAAGGCGGCUCACUGGCCCGAUACUGACGCUGAGGCACGAAAGCGUGGGGAGCAAACAGG